rnacentral:tRNA from 1 species
GAAAUAUGAUGUAUUCAAGUAAAAGCUGCUAACUUAUUACUUCAGCGGUUAAAUUCCGUUAAUAUUUCU